rnacentral:rRNA from 1 species
GGAAGUAAAAGUCGUAACAAGGUCUCCGUUGGUGAACCAGCGGAGGGAUCAUUACAGAGUUCUUUCACGAGACUCCCAAACCAUUGUGAACAUACCCGUCAUCGUUGCCUCGGCGGGCGUCCCCUCGGGGGUGUCCGCCGCUGGCCCACCAAACUCUUUUUAUUGUUAGGGACUCUCUGAGAAAACAAGCAAAUAAGUUAAAACUUUCAACAACGGAUCUCUUGGUUCUGGCAUCGAUGAAGAACGCAGCGAAAUGCGAUAAGUAAUGUGAAUUGCAGAAUUCAGUGAAUCAUCGAAUCUUUGAACGCACAUUGCGCCCGCCAGUAUUCUGGCGGGCAUGCCUGUCCGAGCGUCAUUUCAACCCUCAAGCCCUGCUUGGUGUUGGGGUCCUACGGCUCUGCCGUAGGCCCUGAAAGCUAGUGGCGGGCUCGCUACAACUCCGAGCGCAGUAGUGUAUCUCGCUGAGGAAGUGUGGCGGGUUCCCGGCCGUUAAACCCCCCCCCCAUCUAACAAGGUUGACCUCGGAUCAGGUAGGAAUACCCGCUAAACUUAAGCAU